CCUCUAUUCCAGCAGCCGCGGUAAUACGGAGGGGGCAAGCGUCAUUCGGAAUUAUUGGGCGUAAAGGGCGCGUAGGCGGCCUAGCAAGUGACGGGUGAAAUCCCUCGGCUUAACCGAGGAACUGCCUGUCAGACUGCUGGGCUUGAGACCGGGAGAGGUGAGUGGAAUUCCCAGUGUAGCGGUGAAAUGCGUAGAUAUUGGGAGGAACACCAGUGGCGAAGGCGGCUCACUGGACCGGUACUGACGCUGAGGCGCGAAAGCGUGGGGAGCAAACAGGAUUAGAUACCCUGGUAGUCCACGCCGUAAACGAUGAGUGCUUGGUGUAGCGGGUAUCUUACCCCUGCUGUGCCGAACUCAACACAUUAAGCACUCCGCCUGG
rnacentral:sRNA from 1 species